rnacentral:lncRNA from 1 species
GCAGGCGUAGCACGAGCUAGAGGCCCUAGAUUAGCUCUGCAGAAGUGCGGGACUAUCCGGAUCCCGCAAGCCCGAGCCAUGGAGUCCCAGCGCACCCCGGCGUUUCCCCAUACAGCCCUCCACCCCGCUGGUCCCUGGUUGCUGCCAACAGCGACCAGGAUGGCCCGAGCUCCCAGAACCCUCCGCCCUUGAUGCUGUCUAAGGCUCACCCGCCGCUCCUGCAGUGCACCGUGCCGAAGGCCAGGAGUUGUUUCCCAGGAGGUACGCGAGGCCACGGAUGGACCAGGAGCAGGACUGCAGUUUGCGCAUGCGCAGAGGAAGGGGCGGUGCGCCCAACGGUGCUCGUAGUGGGGUCUCCACGUCCAGUGUUGGAAGAAGGACUGUUGCCUGGAAAACGGAGUCAGCUCCUGUCUCACUCUGUAUUGUAAAAUGAUGCUGUUGAAGGCGUCUAGAAACCAGGGUUACUUUAUGUAAGAAGUAAAGGUGUUUGCAGUG